rnacentral:rRNA from 1 species
UACGUAGGCAGCGAGCGUUGUUCGGAAUUACUGGGCGUAAAGAGUGUGUAGGCGGUGUUCCCAGUCUGUUGUGAAAUCUCCCGGCUUAACUGGGAGGGUGCAGCGGAAACUAGAAUGCUAGAGGGUGGGAGAGGUAAGCGGAAUUCCUGGUGUAGCGGUGAAAUGCGUAGAUAUCGGGAGGAACACCUGUGGCGAAAGCGGCUCACUGGACCACAACUGACGCUGAUGCACGAAAGCUAGGGGAGCAAACAGG